AUGUACAUGAGUGCCCCUGCUCAGCUCCUCGGGCUCCUGCUGCUCUGGCUUCCAGGUGCCAGGUGUGACAUCCAGAUGACCCAGUCUCCACCCUCUCUGUCUGUGUCUCUUGGAGACAGAGUCACCAUCUCUUGCAGGGCAAGUCAGGGUAUUAAUGGUUAUUUAGAAUGGUAUCAGCAGAAACCAGGGAAAGCUCCUAAAUGCCUGAUCUAUGGUGCAUCCAUCUUGGCAGAUGGAGUCCCAUCGAGGUUCAGUGGCAGUGGGUCUGGGACUGAUUAUUCUCUCACCAUCAGCAGUCUGGAGUCUGAAGAUAUUGCUUCUUAUUACUGUCUACAGUAUUAUAAGUAUCCUCCCACAGUGAUACAAGUCAUAACAUAA